rnacentral:rRNA from 1 species
GAACGCUGGCGGCGUGCUUAACACAUGCAAGUCGAACGGAAAGGCCCUGCUUGCAGGGUACUCGCGUGGCGAACGGGUGAGUAACACGUGGGUGAUCUGCCCUGCACUUCGGGAUAAGCCUGGGAAACUGGGUCUAAUACCGGAUAGGAGCCAUUUUUAGUGUGAUGGUUGGAAAGUUUUUUCGGUGUAGGAUGAGCUCGCGGCCUAUCAGCUUGUUGGUGGGGUAAUGGCCUACCAAGGCGGCGACGGGUAGCCGGCCUGAGAGGGUGGACGGCCACAUUGGGACUGAGAUACGGCCCAGACUCCUACGGGAGGCAGCAGUGGGGAAUAUUGCACAAGGGGCGCAAGCCUGAUGCAGCGACGCCGCGUGGGGGAUGACGGCCUUCGGGUUGGAAACUCCUUUCGCUAGGGACGAAGCUUUUUGUGACGGUACCUAGAUAAGAAGCACCGGCUAACUACGUG